rnacentral:rRNA from 1 species
AGUGAACGCUGGCGGUAGGCCUAACACAUGCAAGUCGAACGGCAGCACAGUAAGAGCUUGCUCUUACGGGUGGCGAGUGGCGGACGGGUGAGGAAUACAUCGGAAUCUACUUUUUCGUGGGGGAUAACGUAGGGAAACUUACGCUAAUACCGCAUACGACCUACGGGUGAAAGCAGGGGAUCUUCGGACCUUGCGCGAUUGAAUGAGCCGAUGUCGGAUUAGCUAGUUGGCGGGGUAAAGGCCCACCAAGGCGACGAUCCGUAGCUGGUCUGAGAGGAUGAUCAGCCACACUGGAACUGAGACACGGUCCAGACUCCGACGGGAGGCAGCAGUGGGGAAUAUUGGACGAUGGGCGCAAGCCUGAUCCAGCCAUACCGCGUGGGUGAAGAAGGCCUUCGGGUUGUAAAGCCCUUUUGUUGGGAAAGAAAAGCAGCAGGUUAAUACCCCGCUGUUCUGACGGUACCCAAAGAAUAAGCACCGGCUAACUUCGU